rfam:Oryza sativa Japonica Group DNA, chromosome 12, cultivar: Nipponbare, complete sequence.
UAAAAAAACAAACCCUGAUUUCCGUGUCCAAUGUUUAGCUGUGUGUCUUAUAUGAAAUUUUUUUAUAAUUAGUAUUUUUAUUAUUGUUAGAUGAUAAAACAUGAUUAAUACUUUAUGCAUGACUUGUCUUUUUAUUUUUUUUUAUAAUUUUUUAAAUAAGACGGACGGUCAAACGUUAGACACGGAAACCCAGGAUUUGUCUUUUU